rnacentral:misc_RNA from 1 species
AGAAAGAGCAACUCGAAUUCGGAGAGUUUCAGUGGUUAGCUGAUAUGGGAAUAUUUGGUGAGCAACUUCCUCAAGAAGCAUUAGCAGCGGCUGAAGUUCCUCAAUUAGCAGUUCCACCAUCAGUCAGUGUUAGCUCCUACAGACCUACGGAGUCCAAUAUGCCUACUAAGAAGCCUAGGAUUGAGAUUUCUGAUGAAGAUGAAGAUGAUGAGUACUUCACUGUACCUGAUCUUGGCUGAGAUGGGCCAUAGACUCUAUGGUUUGCAAACUGUACAUAGUUUCCUAAGUGCAUGCAAUGUAUGUAUGUUUAUUACAAGAUAUGUUGUGAGAAACAUAAAGGUUAGUUUAGGAAAUUUACAUUUUCUAUAUUAUCCGGUAUUACUAUUUUCAUUCAAAACACUGAUAUACUACCAUGAG